rnacentral:rRNA from 1 species
GGUCUGAGAGGACGACCAGCCACACUGGGACUGAGACACGGCCCAGACUCCUACGGGAGGCAGCAGUGGGGAAUUUUGGACAAUGGGGGCAACCCUGAUCCAGCAAUGCCGCGUGAGUGAAGAAGGCCUUCGGGUUGUAAAGCUCUUUUGUCAGGGAAGAAACGGUUUUGGCUAAUAUCCAAGACUAAUGACGGUACCUGAAGAAUAAGCACCGGCUAACUACGUGCCAGCAGCCGCGGUAAUACGUAGGGUGCAAGCGUUAAUCGGAAUUACUGGGCGUAAAGCGUGCGCAGGCGGUUGUGUAAGACAGAUGUGAAAUCCCCGGGCUCAACCUGGGAAUUGCAUUUGUGACUG